rnacentral:rRNA from 1 species
UAGGGAAUAUUGGACAAUGGGGGCAACCCUGAUCCAGCCAUGCCGCGUGAGUGAAGAAGGCCCUCGGGUUGUAAAGCUCUUUUGUCCGGAAAGAAAAGCUUCGGGUUAAUACCCCGGGGUUCUGACGGUACCGGAAGAAUAAGCACCGGCUAACUUCGUGCCAGCAGCCGCGGUAAUACGAAGGGUGCAAGCGUUACUCGGAAUUACUGGGCGUAAAGCGUGCGUAGGUGGUUGUUUAAGUCUGAUGUGAAAGCCCUGGGCUCAACCUGGGAAUGGCAUUGGAUACUGGCAAGCUGGAGUACGGUAGAGGAAGGUGGAAUUCCCGGUGUAGCAGUGAAAUGCGUAGAGAUCGGGAGGAACACCAGUGGCGAAGGCGGCCUUCUGGACCAGUACUGACGCUCAUGCACGAAAGCGUGGGGAGCAAACA